CAGUAGCCACGGUAAUACGUAGGUCCCGAGCGUUGUCCGGAUUUAUUGGGCGUAAAGCGAGCGCAGGCGGUUAGAUAAGUCUGAAGUUAAAGGCUGUGGCUUAACCAUAGUACGCUUUGGAAACUGUUUAACUUGAGUGCAAGAGGGGAGAGUGGAAUUCCAUGUGUAGCGGUGAAAUGCGUAGAUAUAUGGAGGAACACCGGUGGCGAAAGCGGCUCUCUGGAUUGUAACUGACGCUGAGGCUCGAAAGCGUGGGGAGCAAACAGGAUUAGAUACCCCAGUAGUCCCUGUCUCUUAUACA
rnacentral:rRNA from 1 species